UACGUAGGGGGCAAGCGUUGUUCGGAUUUAUUGGGCGUAAAGAGCGCGUAGGCGGCCAGCCAGGUCCGUUGUGAAAACUGGAGGCUCAACCUCCAGACGUCGAUGGAAACCGGCUGGCUAGAGUCCGGAAGAGGAGAGUGGAAUUCCUGGUGUAGCGGUGAAAUGCGCAGAUAUCAGGAAGAACACCCGUGGCGAAGGCGGCUCUCUGGGACGGCACUGACGCUGAGGCGCGAAAGCGUGGGGAGCGAACAGG
rnacentral:rRNA from 1 species